ACGAACGCUGGCGGCGUGGAUAAGACAUGCAAGUCGAACGAGAGAAUUGCUAGCUUGCUAAUAAUUCUCUAGUGGCGCACGGGUGAGUAACACGUGAGUAACCUGCCCCCGAGAGCGGGAUAGCCCUGGGAAACUGGGAUUAAUACCGCAUAGUAUCGAAAGAUUAAAGCAGCAAUGCGCUUGGGGAUGGGCUCGCGGCCUAUUAGUUAGUUGGUGAGGUAACGGCUCACCAAGGCGAUGACGGGUAGCCGGUCUGAGAGGAUGUCCGGCCACACUGGAACUGAGACACGGUCCAGACACCUACGGGUGGCAGCAGUCGAGAAUCAUUCACAAUGGGGGAAACCCUGAUGGUGCGACGCCGCGUGGGGGAAUGAAGGUCUUCGGAUUGUAAACCCCUGUGAUGUGGGAGCAAAUUAAAAAGAUAGUACCACAAGAGGAAGAGACGGCUAACUCUGUGCCAGCAGCCGCGGUAAUACAGAGGUCUCAAGCGUUGUUCGGAAUCACUGGGCGUAAAGCGUGCGUAGGCUGUUUCGUAAGUCGUGUGUGAAAGGCGCGGGCUCAACCCGCGGACGGCACAUGAUACUGCGAGACUAGAGUAAUGGAGGGGGAACCGGAAUUCUCGGUGUAGCAGUGAAAUGCGUAGAUAUCGAGAGGAACACUCGUGGCGAAGGCGGGUUCCUGGACAUUAACUGACGCUGAGGCACGAAGGCCAGGGGAGCGAAAGGGAUUAGAUACCCCUGUAGUCCUGGCAGUAAACGGUGCACGCUUGGUGUGCGGGGAAUCGACCCCCUGCGUGCCGGAGCUAACGCGUUAAGCGUGCCGCCUGGGGAGUACGGUCGCAAGAUUAAAACUCAAAGAAAUUGACGGGGACCCGCACAAGCGGUGGAGUAUGUGGCUUAAUUCGAUGCAACGCGAAGAACCUUACCUGGGCUUGACAUGUAAUGAACAACAUGUGAAAGCAUGCGACUCUUCGGAGGCGUUACACAGGUGCUGCAUGGCCGUCGUCAGCUCGUGUCGUGAGAUGUUUGGUUAAGUCCAGCAACGAGCGCAACCCCUGUUGCCAGUUACCAGCACGUGAAGGUGGGGACUCUGGCGAGACUGCCCAGAUCAACUGGGAGGAAGGUGGGGACGACGUCAGGUCAGUAUGGCCCUUAUGCCCAGGGCUGCACACGUACUACAAUGCCCAGUACAGAGGGGGCCGAAGCCGCGAGGCGGAGGAAAUCCUAAAAACUGGGCCCAGUUCGGACUGUAGGCUGCAACCCGCCUACACGAAGCCGGAAUCGCUAGUAAUGGCGCAUCAGCUACGGCGCCGUGAAUACGUUCCCGGGUCUUGUACACACCGCCCGUCACAUCAUGGAAGCCGGUCGCACCCGAAGUAUCUGAAGCCAACCGCAAGGAGGCAGGGUCCUAAGGUGAGACUGGUAACUGGGAUG
rnacentral:rRNA from 1 species